rnacentral:misc_RNA from 1 species
UCUCCGUAGGUGAACCUGCGGAGGGAUCAUUACAGAGUUCAUGCCCUACCGGGUAGAUCUCCCACCCUAUGUUAUUAUUACUUUGUUGCUUUGGCGGGCCGUUAGGCUCCGGCCCGACUACCGGCCCCGGCUGGUAAGCGCCCGCCAGAGGACCCAAAACCCUGAAUAUUAGUGUCGUCUGAGUACUAUAUAAUAGUUAAAACUUUCAACAACGGAUCUCUUGGUUCUGGCAUCGAAGAAGAACGCAGC